GAUGAACGCUGGCGGCGUGCCUAAUACAUGCAAGUCGAGCGAACAGACGAGGAGCUUGCUCCUUUGACGUUAGCGGCGGACGGGUGAGUAACACGUAGGUAACCUACCUAUAAGACUGGGAUAACUUCGGGAAACCGGAGCUAAUACCGGAUAAUAUUUCGAACCGCAUGGUUCGAUAGUGAAAGAUGGCUUUUCUAUCACUUAUAGAUGGACCUGCGCCGUAUUAGCUAGUUGGUAAGGUAACGGCUUACCAAGGCAACGAUACGUAGCCGACCUGAGAGGGUGAUCGGCCACCCGGGAACUGAGACACGGUCCAGACUCCUACGGGAGGCAGCAGUAGGGAAUCUUCCGCAAUGGGCGAAAGCCUGACGGAGCAACGCCGCGUGAGUGAUGAAGGUCCUCGGAUCGUAAAACUCUGUUAUUAGGGAAGAACAAACGUGUAAGUAACUGUGCACGUCUUGACGGUACCUAAUCAGAAAGCCACGGCUAACUACGUG
rnacentral:rRNA from 1 species